rnacentral:rRNA from 1 species
GAUGAACGCUGGCGGCGUGCCUAAUACAUGCAAGUCGAGCGAACAGACGAGGAGCUUGCUCCUCUGACGUUAGCGGCGGACGGGUGAGUAACACGUGGAUAACCUACCUAUAAGACUGGGAUAACUUCGGGAAACCGGAGCUAAUACCGGAUAAUAUAUUGAACCGCAUGGUUCAAUAGUGAAAGACGGUUUUGCUGUCACUUAUAGAUGGAUCCGCGCCGCAUUAGCUAGUUGGUAAGGUAACGGCUUACCAAGGCAACGAUGCGUAGCCGAACUCAGAGGGGGGUCGGCCGCCCUGGAACUUGGCCACCGUCCAGACUCCUACGGGAGGCACCAGUAUGGAAUCUUCCGCAAUGGGCGAAAGCUUGACGGAGCAAUGCCGCGUGAGUGAUGAAGGCCUUCGGAUCGUAAAACUCUGUUAUUAGGGAAGAACAAAUGUGUAAGUAACUAUGCACGUCUUGACGGUACCUAAUCAGAAAGCCACGGCUAACUACGUG